rnacentral:rRNA from 1 species
CGUCUAUAUACGUAUAGCAUAUCAAUAAGCGGAGGAAAAGAAACUAACUAGGAUUCCCUCAGUAACGGCGAGUGAAGCGGGAAGAGCUCAAAUUUGAAAUCUUCAAGGUUCUACCUUGACGAAUUGUAGUUUAAAGAAGUGUUUUCUGUUGGAGUUUUGGUAAAAGUUCUUUGGAAAUAGGACAUCAUAGAGGGUGAGAAUCCCGUAUUUGACCAUUAUUUCCAACUUUGUGAUACACUUUCAAAGAGUCGGAUUGUUUGGGAAUGCAGUCCAAAAUGGGUGGUAAAUUUCAUCUAAAGCUAAUACUGGCGAGAGACCGAUAGCGAACAAGUACCGUGAGGAAAGAUGAAAAGAACUUUGAAAAGAGGGUUAAACAGUACGUGAAAUUGUCAAAAGGGAAGCGUUCGACACCAGUGUUGUUUUCUCGAAAAUCAAUUAAAAAUGGCGGGAUUUUGUGUUGUAUGACUUUAUCAGCUUUCUGCACUUUUUUCCUGUCUUUUUUAAUGCACUUUUCGUUUAACAAGUCAACAUCAAUUUCUUUUGUUGUAAAAGGGUCAUUGGAAGGUGGCUUUCUUUUCGGAGAAAGUGUUUAUAGCCUUUGACUUCUGCAAUCGGAGAGAUUGAGGUCUGCAGCGUAGAUCCUUCGGGGUUAGAUGCAUUUGUGCUAAGUUAUAGCCUUUCAUAGACAACUUGUUGACUAUGAUCAGUCAUGUAGCUUACUCGCUUAUGUCAUUUUACCUACGCUUAGGAUGUUGACGAUCAGCUGAGCGCG